UCCUACGGGGGGCAGCAGUGAGGAAUAUUGGUCAAUGGGCUUACGCCUGAACCAGCCAAGUCGCGUGAGGGAAGACUGCCCUAUGGGUUGUAAACCUCUUUUGUCAAGGGACAAAAUCAGGCUCGAGAGCCUGACCGAGGGUACUUGAAGAAAAAGCAUCGGCUAACUCCGUGCCAGCAGCCGCGGUAAUACGGAGGAUGCGAGCGUUAUCCGGAUUUAUUGGGUUUAAAGGGUGCGUAGGCGGACUGUUAAGUCAGCGGUAAAAGCACGGGGCUCAACCCCGGCGAGCCGUUGAAACUGGCUGU
rnacentral:rRNA from 1 species